rnacentral:sRNA from 1 species
CUUUUAUUUGCUUACAUUUCAGUAGUAAACAUCAACAUCGAUUGUGCAAGUUUGCCACUGUCUUGCUGGCAUGGGGACACUGUAACACCUGGAAACACAAUGGAGCCCUACACCCCAAAGCCAUAUCUGGAGAUGUAUAAGCAGGACCUCCACACAACACCUUCAAGGAACGAUGACAGAUUGCAGCUUGAUGUUUUGUGCACCGAAGACUACUUUCACCACAUUAAAUAUUAAGUUUGGCAGCCUGCACAGUACCUUCUUACACUACGAAUGAAGCUCCCAUGUCAGUGUGAGUUUGCCAGUUCCAAGUCCUUUGACCCAUGCGUGUGGAGUCUUCAGCAAGUGUCUUCAAGUUCUGGUGGCUACCCAAGUGAAGUGGCAAUGAUCUCUCUUGUCCACACAUUCCUGAUCAACGGCUCCCAGGAAAACAUCUCUCACCCGGUAUAAGACUUCUUGUCUUAUAGCUAAGAAACCAAGAUGAAGUUGGAUAAUGAUUUUUUUUAAUGGGUGGACUUGGACCACCUGUCUUAGAACCAUGGGUUAAGGUAAAAAUUCCCUGUCCACCAGCAGGCCCAAUAAAUUCAUGUUUCUCUGGGUGAUACCAAGGACUUUGAUAGUAUACACCAGUGAAAUCUGAAAGCUGUUGACAAGACAGGGUAGGCAGAUUAUGGAGGAAGUCUGAUUUACUUCCACAUUUACUUUACAGGCACAUUACCAUGUCCGUAUGUCCAUGUGGGAUCAAUUUUGUCAGACUUUUCAGAGUGCGAGGGUGAGCACUGAGGUUUGCAAUCACUAACUCUCUAUAAUUUCAGGGAGGUAGGAAAGAUGACAAAUGAUGUUUGAAGAUGUUCUUUUCCCCAUAGACAUUCCAACCUCUCAGGGAGGAAUGAAUGAAACUGGUCUUUGAACAAAGGAAAGAAAGCCUUGGGCCUGAAGGACCAAUGUUUGUGUGCUGUAUCAUGUGGGACGAAGAUGGUCUUUUCCUUACUACACAGCCUGAGGAGGACGGACAUCUUAGCACUGUGGUAGAUUGCUAUUCUGGUGAAACAUAUACCAACUACAGCUGUUGUGUUUAAUUUUUCUUUUUAACACACAUAGACAAUAUGUAUUUGUUUUCGCUCUAGAUAACAUUCCUUCAUUUUUGCUCCAAGGUGAAAAAAAAAUCCUGUAAACACCAAGUAUUAAAAAAAAAUAGAGAAAGAGAGAGAGAGAGAAGCAAUUUAGGAAAGAUUAAAAGCAAUUGUUCUGUUACCAUUGGCAACAGAAUCUAGAUGCAGCCAAUCAGCAAAGUUGAUACAUUGUUUUGACACACGUGCACAUAUUUCUAACAUAAAUAGCAACAGAGACCUAAUAACAGUAGGUUUUAAAGCUGGCAACUGAUGUCAUUUCAAAUGUGUCAAUCAAAGAGAACCUAGGAAAGUGUUUUUCGCAGUCAGGCUGACGUUAAGUAUACACUGCAGUGGCUCCCUAAGUGAUGGUAGGCUUCUGGCAGGUCAUCCAGGAGAUGCUAAAUCUAUAAUUACACUCCUGCUUCUUGGAAUAUGUCCUUUGGAACAUCUCUUUAAAAAAAAACAACUCUAAUAAGGAAAUAAAAUUUCAAUCUUACAGUAAAAUUCGUCUAUUUGCAUUAUCAAAAAAAAGUGUGUUCAUGAGAGUGAAUGAAAUGGAACUUGAAUUAGCUUAUUUAUCCCUAAGAAAGAUGCAUUUCAUUGCUUCCUGUGUCUGCUGAAUUUAUGACCAACUUGUGCCAGUAAAUUCUCUAGUGAAGAAUGUUUUUUAAGUCUCUCAGAAAUUAGGAUUUGGACAGAACAAUAGGAGAGAACAAUAGUAUUAGGCUGUGCUGGGGAAAUGAAUGGGUGGUUAGGAGUCAGCUCCAGAGACACUGACUACUCAGGAUGAGAAUGGACAGCUACGGAGCCAAGGUUCAUCCUGCCUGGGAAAGAAAGAAUCAUGGUAUUGGCAAAAAUAAAGAAUAAAAGGUACCAUUCGUCAAAGGCUUACACUGGGCACUCACAAUGCCAGCUAGGGCAUUCUCCUCACCCUUCUUUCUUCCCUCCUUCCCUCUCCCUUCCUUCUUCCCUCCUUCCCUCUCAUUCAUUCCCUUUACCUCCUUUAUUCCCUCUCUGUUUUAUAGACACUGCUUUACAGGUAGA